rnacentral:rRNA from 1 species
AGCGAACGUUGGCGGCGCGCUUAACACAUGCAAGUCGAACGCGAAAGAUCUUCGGAUCGAGUAGAGUGGCGCACGGGUGAGUAACACGUGACUAACCUACCUUUUGGCCCGGGAUAACAUGCCGAAAGGCGUGCUAAUACCGGAUGAGACCACAGUCUCUGCGGGGACAGUGAGAAAAGCAGGGGAGCGAAAGCGCCUUGCACCGGAAGAUGGGGUCGCGGCCUANCAGCUAGUUGGCGGGGUAACGGCCACCAAGGCGACGACGGUAGCCGGCCUGAGAGGGUGACCGGCCGCACUGGGACUGAGACACGGCCCAGACUCCUACGGGAGGCAGCAGUGGGGAAUAUUGGACAAUGGGCGAAAGCCUGAUCCAGCAACGCCGCGUGAGGGAUGACGGCCUCGGUUGUAA